CCAGACUCCUACGGGAGGCAGCAGUGGGGAAUAUUGCACAAUGGGGGGAACCCUGAUGCAGCAAUGCCGCGUGAAGGAUGAAGGUUUUCGGAUUGUAAACUUCUUUUGUACGGGACGAAGAAAGUGACGGUACCGUAAGAAUAAGCCACGGCUAACUACGUGCCAGCAGCCGCGGUAAUACGUAGGUGGCAAGCGUUAUCCGGAUUUACUGGGUGUAAAGGGCGCGUAGGCGGGAUGGCAAGUCAGAUGUGAAAUCCAGGGGCUCAACCCCUGAACUGCAUUUGAAACUGUCGUUCUUGAGUACUGGAGAGGUUGACGGAAUUCCUAGUGUAGCGGUGAAAUGCGUAGAUAUUAGGAGGAACACCAGUGGCGAAGGCGGUCAACUGGACAGCAACUGACGCUGAGGCGCGAAAGCGUGGGGAGCAAACAGGAUUAGAUACCCUCGUA
rnacentral:rRNA from 1 species